ensembl:lncRNA
GUCCCAUCCCAGAGAAAGCUGCAGCUCAGCAGUGGAACAAGUGAUUUCUCUGUAGAUGAGAUUUGAAGACAAGUGCUUUGUGACUGAUACAACAGAGAGAGCAGAGACCGUGUUGGGAUGCAGGACUGGGGAUGAUGUUGUCAUAGUGAUGAAUCAAAACUAUCUUUGCAGAAAUAUGAACAGAUGUUAGUGGCUCUUGCUGAGACCAGAGAAGAGGACUUUGAAGCAGUCAGAGUAAUAAGAGCCCAGAUUACUGCUGUAGCUGUAUGAAUGGAAAACAGCAGAAGGCAAAAGACCAAAGAGGAAUGAGCUCUGAGGCUAAAGAGACUGGAGACUGCUGAGUAGCUACAGACAGGGAGGUCUGCAGUCCCUGCUAAGGACCACUCACCAAGAACAGACCUGGAGCAACCAUGAUUUCAUCCUCACUCAAGUUCUGUGUAGAAUUACUGCCCUAUCAUCUGUAAAGAUCUCUGAUAGCCUCAACUGUGUAACAUUUCCAGUUUUAUUUACUGGGGUGUUUUGUUGUGUUUUGUUUGUUUGUUGUUUUAUCCUGUUUGUCAGAUGCUAUUUUGCUCUUAGGCAGCUUCUUGUGUCAACUAUUUUACCCUUUUUUUCUGAAUAGCAAAUCUUUUCCAUACAUUUACUUACUGUCACCAUUUAAAAAUCACUUUUCCCAUUUAGUAUCUCAGGGUACAAUACUCAUGCGUGUCAUAAACGACUGCUUAGUCUGGUGUUCACUCAAUACAGUUAAACUAUUUUUCCAAGAGUAGCUAAGGUAUUGUCC